GUAAUUACAGUUAAGUGUCAUAAAACCAAUAUAACGAACUAUCCCAGUUACUUUAGUGCUUUGCGUGUGAUUUGGAUUACUGUAAUGCUCGGUACUGUAACGUGUGCUAUUACUGUAAUACAUCACUGUAACGUGGGACUACUGUAACGUGUAUUAGUUUUUGGUAUUCGAUUACUGGUUGCCUGAGAUCGCAGCCCAGAGUAGAUGGUAAACCUCAUCUAAGGCUAAAUACGGCCACGUGACAGAUAGCAAACAAGUACCGUGAGGGAAAGAACUUUGAAGAAAGAGUUCAAAAAGGCGUGAAACUUUUUUUGCAGUAAUGAUAGUUUUCAGCAAUUUUUCUUAGUUAUAAUUGAAAGAACAAUUGAAAUUUCGGCGUUCUCUUCAGGAGUAACCUAGCAUUACUACAUGUCUGUGAUUUGUUGCGGUGCUCAUCCACGGCGGUACAGUGGUCUGAUCACAUCCCACUACUCCUACAUAUUGCUGUCCUGGGGCUGGAUUCAUUGCGACCCACGAUUUGCCGCCACGCUCGACAGCUUCUCAUCAAUAUUGUUCUUCUUCAAGCCGGUGAAGCAGUAGCCGCCUCACAACUUUGCAAUAUUUUAUUGAGCAAUCAGGUUUGUAUUCGGAUUUUUUAUAUUCGAGGUUUUUUUAAGAAAAGAUUUUUGAGGUUUUUUUAAAAAAAG
rnacentral:ncRNA from 1 species